rnacentral:rRNA from 1 species
UACAGAGGUCCCAAGGCGUUGUUCGGAUUCACUGGGCGUAAAGGGUGCGCAGGUGGGUUGGCAAGUUUGAUGUGAAAGCCCCGGGCUUAACCCGGGAAUGGACAUUGAAUACUGCUGAUCUGGAGGAUCGGAGGGGGGACUGGAAUUCUUGGUGUAGCGAGUGAAAUGCGUAGAUAUCAAGAGGAACACCAGUGGCGAAGGCGAGUCCCUGGACGAUACCUGACACUGAGGCACGAAAGCCGGGGGAGCAAAC